GGUUUCUGUACAGCACUUUGAGAUAUCAGCUGAUGUACGAAGGGCUAUAUAAAUAAAUUUAAUUUGAUUUGAUUUACUUUAUGAAAUUAUAGCCCGAUGUGCUCACAUUGGUGUGUCCGGUUUACAGUGCGCAGUGUGGGGGGAAGUGACAGACAUGCCACAGUCCAGGCUAGGCUUCUCAAAUGUUGCAGUCUGGCUUCGGGUUUUUAAAGCUUGACAAUGAUUAACUAAAAAACUAAACCUUCAACAAAACACAAAAGAGUUACAUGUAGGCCCAUUACAGCAACAUUUGAGCAGUAACCUGGCUACUCAACUACAAUAUACAGUAUUUGGAGUGCUGCAGUGCAAAAAAAGAAAUAACAUGUUUUAAGUUUAAAUGUUACAACAAUCCAAAGCUAAGUUGACAUUUGGAGUUAAUACUUUUUGAUAUUGGUUGCAGCAUAUUGUGCACAUCUCUGCAAUCAUAGUACCACGGCUAGAAUAAUAUUAUUUAUCUCUGGUUUUAAUAUUCUAAAUUGCGACAGCAUCCUAUGUACAUAAGUGGACAUUAUAAAAGCCCAUAUUUCAGUUUGGGUUGCAGAUGCAUGAAGAAAACAAAAAACAAAUAGGCUAUGUCUGGUUCGUGAUUUCAUUGGAGGAGUGGGUGAGUGACCGGCUUUCCCCCCUCAUUGUUUUUCGUUGGCUACAGCUAGAGAUGCUGCAGCUGUUAUUUGGUUAGCUAGCUAUGCUGAACUUGAACGACUGUUAUCCAGUUAGCAUAUCUCUUAGUUGUCAAAUGUAUUUGGCAUCGAUCAAAAGGGUGGGAAGGCCAGUUCCCAUUCCGUUGUCAAAACGUGGGUAGGGUCAUGCUUGGAUUGACAGGUAAGCUGCAGAAGGACAAGCAGGCUACUAUUCCCCAACUUUUAUCAGGGCAAUUUUGACGGCCAACCAGCUGAAAAAGUUUGAGAGCGUUUAUCUAAUGUUCCCUCAUUAGAUUUUAGCUCAUCUCACUAUGGCUAGCAUUAGUUGUUGAUGUGCAUAGGUAAUUGAGGGAGAGCGAAAAUACAGUUUCAUGGCUGUUUGAUCAAAAUUAUUGUUUAGUUCCCUAAUGUAAGAGGACUCCUGUGCUAUUUACAAUUUUGCCGAAAUCCAUUCAGUGGCUUUUGGCGAAUGUGUUCAAAUGAUCUAAAGUCGUGCUGCUGCUACUGCCAGUAAACACAUAGUUAAGUUCAAAGUCAAUGAUUGCAGGCCCUUGCAGUGUUGCCAACUCCUCAGUAAGGAAAGUAGCUAUUGGCUGUUCUAAAAGUCGCUAGAAGUCGCUAAAUGACGUCAUCACAUAAUUUGCAUAAUUGGCCAUGUGCAUAUAAUUGUGAUGGACGCUGAAGGAGAGCGGAAUAAGGUCGUGGGAGAGACAAAAAGCCAGGGUGGGAUCAGCGCACGCGCGAUUCAUUUGCAGUCUGGACGCAGAGGGGUGAGCAUCUCCUGCUCUGACUACAGUUGGGAGGGACUGCUGCGCGAGGACUGGACCGCCUGUGAGUGCUUUGGGACAGCACCCGCUGCUCGUUGAGAAGAACCCGGCUCACAGCACACAGCUGGUGAGGUGAAGGGUGGAGGGUGAACCCCGGUAAUGGUGUGAGAUCCAGAUCAUCCUCUGUUACUUCAGGAGGAGGAGAGAAACGAAAGCGCUGCAGGAGGGAGGUGAAGAAGAGG